GUGUGAAACGCACUGUGGAUAAAUGCUUGUGACAAAUGAUUAUAGAUGCUGAAAGCUGCUUUCUGAAAAGAUGCUGGUAAAAAUUAUUUGAAUGAAUUAAGUUACAUUCUGGAAAGUACAAUCAAUCUCUCCAUCAUGAUAAGUCCACAGUGUGCUCAAACGGGGGCAGGGGGUGUUAUCUAAAAAUUAGAGGUGUCCUUUGGACAAAUAGAAGUAAGAAGUCUGCUCUUCAGACCACAACUUCAUUUAAAUUCUUAAGUACCUGUAUGUAUGUAGGUAUGUAUGUAUGUUUGUUCUUCAUCCAAUCUGGGUCUUCAAAUUAAGACAUCAAAAACAUAUUCAUUUUCAAAUGACAUUUAUAGCCCUUUGAUCAGGGGUCAGCAAACUUCUUCAGCAGAGGGCCGGUCCAAUGUCCCUCAGACCUUGUGGGGGACUGGACUAUAUUUUUGGGGGGGGAAAUGAACGAAUUCCUAUGCCCCACAAAUAACCAGAGAUGCAUUUUAAAUAAAAGCACACAUUCUACUCAUGUAAAAACACCAGGCAGGCCCCACAAAUAACCCAGAGAUGCAUUUUAAAUAAAAGGACACAUUUUACUUAUGUAAAAACACGCUGCUGAUUCCCGGACCAUCCGCGGGCUGGAUUUGGAAGGCAAUUGGGCCAGAUCUGGUCCCUGGGCCUUAGUUUGCCUACCCAUGCCUUUGAUUAUAGAAGCACAGUUUCCAGUUUGUUUGUGCAUAUAACUUGUGUGUGCUUUAAAAAUACUGAAUGGCUGUGUCUCACAGUUUUCUCUGUUACAAAUAGGUUUUUUGAGGUGGGUGGGGUGGAAGGAACAUUUUUAGUUCAAAACACAUCAGUUGCUGUAAAUAAGAUUAAUGCUAUUUGAUGAGAAUUUCAGCUGCAGUUACACAAGCCAGCUCCAUGGUGGAGCCAAAGGUAUCUCUUUACAUUUGUUUCUCAAAUAACCCCCCAACCAAACCCACCAAACAAUAUUCUGAUAAUAUGCAGUUAUUCUGUUAGGAAAUAUACAGAUAAAUUACUGGAUCCGUUAUGUAAGGAUGCCUAAAAGUAACACCCCCGCCUUGUUUUAUUUUUGCAGCUGAAAUAAUACUACAAUAAUUAAUUAUAAUUGAUCAGCUUUUAAAAAGAUAUAGAGUAUCUAAAUAAGAAAGUUCAUGUGGUGGGGGAAUUCACACACUUUUAGAUGAAUAUUGAUCAUGUCUUGCAUUCCUUAAAGUUGUUGUUUUAUUUUUAAAUGGAUACGUAAAGGAAAUAAUACAAAUAUGCGAGACUUUUUUUAAAAAGGCUCUUGAAAAUAAAGCUAGCUAUUUUUUUAAUUAAAAAGUUUACCUCUGUAAAGCUAGCAAAGAGGCAAUAUUGAUUGCCAAAUCAUUUUCAUGGUGACCCAUGUAUUUCAUUUUUUAAAAAAGGGGGAUAGUUAUUUUCAAAAAAAAAUUCCCUGAUAGAAAGCUGGCAUGCCAUGUUUCUCCUCAUGCAUAACAGAGCACCCGUCGAAUCAAGAUUCACAAUGACCAGUUAUUUCCAUCAGGAACUGAUGCCUUCAUUGAAGCAAGCAGGCCAGGGAGGGCUUGGCAUGCACAUCAAAGCUGCAUCCUUCUGUAUUGCAUGAUGUUCUAUGUAGGGCUGCCCUUGUGGUCGGUCCAGAAGCUGCAGCUUGUGCAAAAUGGAGCAGCUAGGAUGCUUAAUGGAGCAAGCACUUGUUGCACCUGUGCUAAAGGGAUUGCACUGGCUGCCUAUUUGCUUCAAGGUUUUGUUGUUGAGUUACAAAGCUCCAUAUAUCUUGGAACUAACCUAUUUGAGAAUUUCUUCUUUCACAUAGGCCAGCCCGUUCACUGCCGUCAUAACUGGAGCCUCUUCUAACUGUGCUUCAUCCCUCAAAACACAUCCCAUGGCAACCUACAGGAAGAGCUUUUCUGUGGUGGCCCCCACAUCGUGGAACAACCUCCCCUCAGAGUUUUGAGAAGCUACUAUAAAAGUGUUCCGCUGGUUGGUAAAAACUUAUCCAUAAUACUGCCUCCACUGAACUUUGUUCAUAUAUUUUAUUGUAUUGGUUUAAUUUUGUAAAUGUCCUUGCUGUUUUUUUACAUCAAACAAUUUUAAAUGAAAACAAACAAACAUAUGCUCUGCGUUGGGGAUCAGUAUCUGACAAUUGUACAGUUGUAGAAAUGGUUUAAUUGCUUUCAGUUUACUGAGUUUCUAAUGUUUUGCAUUUUACCUUUUUUUUGUUUUAUUGUACAUCACUUUAGUAGCUUUUGGUUCUGAAGUAGUUUAUAAAUUGGCAAAUAUAUAAAUGUGAGAUUUUCACAUGUACCCCAGUUAAAGUUAUAUAUCAAUACCAAUUUUAUCUAUAUAUUGCAACUGCAACAUCUGAAUGGAGAGUGCCUGGGUAGGUCUUGGGCCAGUACCUGGGUGUAGAAGUGGGCUGGAUGAGGGUUAACAAACUGAAUUUGAAUCCUGGCAAGGCAGACAUGCUGUUAGUGAGUUGCUCUUGGGUCCAGGAAGUUGGUCAGCUGCCUGCCCUGGAUGGGGUUGCACACUUCAUGAAGGAGCAGGUGUGUAGUCUAGGGGUGCUCCUAGAUCCAGCUAUGUCACUGCAGGCACAGCUGUCCUCAGUGGCUAGUCCUCAACCCUGGCUCAGGCAAAUUUAUGCUGGCAUAAUUUGCUAAUCUUGGCAUGGCUGAGGCUGGAGGGGCGCUGUGGGGGCCUGGGGUAGGACAGGAGAUGGGGUACUUAGGCUGGAUACUAAGCCUAUACAGCUCAGUCAUGUGACCUGGAAAUCCAGCAUAAAACAUUAUUUUGAAGUUUUCCCUCUUCCAGACUUAGACACAGAAGCAGCAGUCCCACUGCUAAAUGGUGUUCAGAUCUGGUGCAACUUUAUGCCGAUUCAACUUACUAGCUUGCUUUAUGCCAGUUUCUUGGAUAUAGGGUUGACCGCUAAAAGAUCAUAUAAAAGAGAAGUUCAGAAGCUCAAUUCAUUGUCCCAGCUGUUUAAAUGUGCCAACAUAUUCUCUCCUUUGGGCUCACCAUGGGAAAAGAAAGAAGACCCAUUAUCCUUUCACUCUCACUAAGCCUUCAAGCUUCAACAUAUAAUUCAAGAUUCCAAAAUUUGUUAUACACACACACACACGCUCUGAUGCUUCUAUUGACUGAGAUAGGCUUCUUUCCAUCUAGCUCAGUACAAGUCUGCUCUCACUGACAUCAGCUGUCUUAAAAUCUCAGAUUGAGGUCUUUCCCGACACUGCUAGCCUGAGGAUGGAACUAGACAUUACACAAUCCAUUUUCCUGCCUGCUGAUUCUCUCUUGCCAGUGUUCUCUUAGGCUGUUUUUAAUUAUUUGGUUUUAUCCAGUAAUCCUAGCUGAAGGAAAUCUGGCUUUGAGAAAUUAACAGAGGAAAACCGAUGGGCACAGGUUGGGUUGAGUGGCUCUUUCUUCCCAUUCUUCUCAGCGGCCCACUACUCCCCUGUCAUCUCAACAAAGAAUAGUUUGGUCCUGUGCAUUGUCCAAGAGGAUGUCUAGCUCUUCCAGGAGAUCCUUUAACUGGAGAUGUUAAGAGGUCUUCGAAAUGCAAUGGGUCCUACUAUCUUGUGUCUUUGAUCAAGUACUAUUUGAAUGAUUUGGCUCAAAGUCAAUCUUUUCCAUUAUAGUGGGGGGGGGGGAGAGGCUGGGCUGUGCGCGUGGUGCCCUGCUGCUGCUCCUCUCCUGGGUCAAGGCUGGCAAAACAUUGGAGAGGCAGCGUUGCCCCUCUCCAGCCAGGUACCCUACGCCCCUGCUUAUGAUUCACAUUCAGCUAGGAAAGGAGGAGAAAUGGUCAAUUCACUUUGCAUUUAAAGGCAAACUUACCUACUUCUCACUUGCUGAAGCAAUGCACCAACCAAAGUACAGCCAUUUUACAAAAUUUGCACUUCUCCAAAUUUUGCUAUGCAGUUCUCCAGCCCAGUAAUGUGCACAGUUCCUUAUAUUUAGGGUGAAUUGUGUGUUAAAAUGCAUAUAUUAAGAACGUAAGAGGGGGCUGCUGGAUCAGGCCUAAGGUCCAUAUAGUCCAGCAUCCUGUUUUCAUAGUUGACAACCAGACACCUAUGGGAAACCUGCAUACAGGAUUUGAGCACAAGAGCACUUUGCGCUCCUAUGGUUUCCAGCAAUUGGUAUUCAGAAGCAUUACUGUCUCCAGCUGUGGAGGCAGAGUAUAGCCACCAUGGCUAGUAGCCUUCAGUAGCCCUCUCCUCCAUGAAUUUGUCCAAUCUUCUUUUAGAACCACCUAGGUUAGUGGUCAUCACCACCUCCUGUGGGAAUGAGUUCUAUAGAAGUACUUUCUUUUCUUCUGUCCUGUAUCUUCCAAAAUUCGGCUGCACUGGAAGUCCAUGAGUUCUAGUGUUAUGAGAGAGGAAGAAAGUGUAUAUUAGCAGAAGUAAAAAACAACACAUUAUUUUAUAAGAAAACGCUUCGUGCAAAUGUUUAACUUAGACAAAAUGGCAUACAAAUGUGUGUAUUCAGAGAAAUUCCCUGAUUAAUUUUCAUGAGGACUGGAAAACUGAGAAAAGCCAAAACUGACAGUUUCACCCAUCCCUACGUUCAACAUCCUUUCAUUCUGAACUGAGGUCCAUAUGUGCUAACAUAUAUUUCUGUCCUAAGUAUGUUAUUCCUGCAUAGUGUGACCAGGUUGGGAGUGGUGGCAAAAUUCCUGCACCUUCCAUAGUUGUGUAGAAGAUUGAAUCUCAGGAGGUAUAGUUUGUCAAGCGUGUUAUACCCUGUGACGUUAGCAUAUGAGAGUGCUGGAGGUGAGAUAGUUAAACAAGUUACGCAAUCAGAACCCAGGUGGGUGGAGUCAGAGGGACUAUAAAACCAGCUCUGGGAGGGGUGAAGGGGGGAGUUUGUUGUGAGUUGAGUGGUUGGUUGGAGUGGGAGUGAAUUGGGAUAGAGUCUGUGGGUAGGUUGAGUUACUGUAGCGAAAUAAGCUGAGUCAGGAACAGUUAGGAACUAGGAAGACAAGGAAAUAUCUGAGAGGUGGUUUAGUGAGUGAGAGCAGGUAGUGGAAGUUAUAGGUCUGGAUAGGCACCCCAUGAUUGUAAUGGACCAAUACCAUUUAUGAAACCACACGCUUGUUAAACUGCAAUAAAUAAACAGAAGUUUAUGUUUCAAUU